CAACACCUCAAAGCUCGCUUUGGUUAUGGGACGGGUCGGCCCCUCUCGUGGGGGCAUGCCCUCCUUAACGUUGCCCGACGAUAGCGAACCAGCAGCCUGGCAGUAGACGUAGUAAAUCUUUCUCGUUUGCCUGCUGAGGAGGCCGGUCGCCAACGAAAACCCCAAAACCU
rnacentral:misc_RNA from 1 species